UACGUAGGGUGCGAGCGUUGUCCGGAAUUAUUGGGCGUAAAGAGCUCGUAGGCGGUCUGUCGCGUCGAAUGUGAAAACCCGGGGCUCAACUCCGGGCUUGCAUUCGAUACGGGCAGGCUAGAGUUCGGUAGGGGAGUCUGGAAUUCCUGGUGUAGCGGUGAAAUGCGCAGAUAUCAGGAGGAACACCGGUGGCGAAGGCGGGACUCUGGGCCGAUACUGACGCUGAGGAGCGAAAGCGUGGGAAGCAAACAGG
rnacentral:rRNA from 1 species